GGUUUCGUGGUGUAGUUGGUUAUCACAACCGCCUAACACGCGGUAGGUCUCCGGUUCGAUCCCGGACGAAACCA